AUUGAACGCUGGCGGCAUGCCUUACACAUGGAAGUCGAACGGCAGCACGGGUGCUUGCACCUGGUGGCGAGUGGCGAACGGGUGAGUAAUACAUCGGAACAUGUCCUGUAGUGGGGGAUAGCCCGGCGAAAGCCGGAUUAAUACCGCAUACGAUCUACGGAUGAAAGCGGGGGACCUUCGGGCCUCGCGCUAUAGGGUUGGCCGAUGGCUGAUUAGCUAGUUGGUGGGGUAAAGGCCUACCAAGGCGACGAUCAGUAGCUGGUCUGAGAGGACGACCAGCCACACUGGGACUGAGACACGGCCCAGACUCCUACGGGAGGCAGCAGUGGGGAAUUUUGGACAAUGGGCGAAAGCCUGAUCCAGCAAUGCCGCGUGUGUGAAGAAGGCCUUCGGGUUGUAAAGCACUUUUGUCCGGAAAGAAAUCCUUGGCCCUAAUACGGUCGGGGGAUGACGGUACCGGAAGAAUAAGCACCGGCUAACUACGUG
rnacentral:rRNA from 1 species